CUGCUGAAAGACAGGCUCUUAAGAAGGAAUUGAAAAAGUAUAAAGAUCCAAAGCACAUAAAUGAAAUAGAAGAACGUAUAUCAUGGAUUGAUAAACAACUCAAGUCUGGUUCAGCAAAGCAUAUUGAUGCAGGAAUAUUGGCUAAACACAAGAA